GAGGGUAUAGCUCAAAUAGUAGAGCGCAUGCUUAGCAUGCACGAGGUCCUGGGUUCAAUCCCCAGUACCUCCU
rfam:Camelus ferus unplaced genomic scaffold scaffold1629, whole genome shotgun sequence.